rnacentral:rRNA from 1 species
ACACGGAGGGUGCGAGCGUUAAUCGGAAUUACUGGGCGUAAAGCGUACGUAGGCGGUUGGUUAAGUUAGAUGUGAAAGCCCCGGGCUUAACCUGGGAACUGCAUUUAAAACUGGCGAACUAGAGUUGAGUAGAGGGGAGUGGAAUUUCAGGUGUAGCGGUGAAAUGCGUAGAGAUCUGAAGGAACACCAGUGGCGAAGGCGACUCCCUGGACUCGAACUGACGCUGAGGUACGAAAGCGUGGGUAGCAAACGGGAUUAGAAACCCCAGUAGUCC